rnacentral:rRNA from 1 species
UUUUAUGAGAGUUUGAUCCUGGCUCAGGACGAACGCUGGCGGCGUGCCUAAUACAUGCAAGUCGAACGCUUCUUUUUCCACCGGAGCUUGCUCCACCGGAAAAAGAGGAGUGGCGAACGGGUGAGUAACACGUGGGUAACCUGCCCAUCAGAAGGGGAUAACACUUGGAAACAGGUGCUAAUACCGUAUAACAAUCGAAACCGCAUGGUUUUGAUUUGAAAGGCGCUUUCGGGUGUCGCUGAUGGAUGGACCCGCGGUGCAUUAGCUAGUUGGUGAGGUAACGGCUCACCAAGGCCACGAUGCAUAGCCGACCUGAGAGGGUGAUCGGCCACAUUGGGACUGAGACACGGCCCAAACUCCUACGGGAGGCAGCAGUAGGGAAUCUUCGGCAAUGGACGAAAGUCUGACCGAGCAACGCCGCGUGAGUGAAGAAGGUUUUCGGAUCGUAAAACUCUGUUGUUAGAGAAGAACAAGGAUGAGAGUAACUGUUCAUCCCUUGACGGUAUCUAACCAGAAAGCCACGGCUAACUACGUGCCAGCAGCCGCGGUAAUACGUAGGUGGCAAGCGUUGUCCGGAUUUAUUGGGCGUAAAGCGAGCGCAGGCGGUUUCUUAAGUCUGAUGUGAAAGCCCCCGGCUCAACCGGGGAGGGUCAUUGGAAACUGGGAGACUUGAGUGCAGAAGAGGAGAGUGGAAUUCCAUGUGUAGCGGUGAAAUGCGUAGAUAUAUGGAGGAACACCAGUGGCGAAGGCGGCUCUCUGGUCUGUAACUGACGCUGAGGCUCGAAAGCGUGGGGAGCAAACAGGAUUAGAUACCCUGGUAGUCCACGCCGUAAACGAUGAGUGCUAAGUGUUGGAGGGUUUCCGCCCUUCAGUGCUGCAGCUAACGCAUUAAGCACUCCGCCUGGGGAGUACGACCGCAAGGUUGAAACUCAAAGGAAUUGACGGGGGCCCGCACAAGCGGUGGAGCAUGUGGUUUAAUUCGAAGCAACGCGAAGAACCUUACCAGGUCUUGACAUCCUUUGACCACUCUAGAG